AAAAAGGCGCCUUUCGGCGCCUUCUUCAAUUCAUAUAAUAUGAAUU
rnacentral:ncRNA from 1 species